AGACUAAUUAGUAUGGGCUUAAUAUUACUGUAUUAUUUAGUUUAACUACAAUUUUUCAGGUCAGCAGCAUUACAGUAAGCACUGGUACAGCGUACCAGCACUUUUUUCAAUGCAGCGAAAAAGUUACUUUUGUAUUUUAAAGUUUAUUAUUUAUUUAUUAGUUGUUAAAAGGCAAUCCAUCACUGAGCUCCGGCACCUAUUUCUUUACAAAAAAGCACUGAUUACCUGUAUAUUCUUUAACAAUAACGGUUUACUAUUCUCAGGAAUUAGUCAUUCAAAAGACGGUGAGGAAAAGAAUGGUCGACAAACCUUGUGUGGUGCCUUAACAGUCCAACAGACUAAGGGAUAUAUAAAGGUGGAUCUUGAUAAAACUGCCUUGUUUUGUGGUUUGCACGAGACGGUUGACACAAUGAUCUGAAGUUCAAACUGCCAUUUUCUACUGUCCGCUGCGAGAUCUUGGCUGGAAUGUAAAAGGAAUGUCCAAAAUAUUUAAAUGACAAACAGGAUGGGAACUGAUUAUGAGGAAUGUAUGUCCAGUUUUUUUUUGUUUUUUUUUAAAUACAGAUAUGAAAGAUGACAGUACCCUAACUUAGAGUCAUAGGUCUUUCAUUAAUUUAUUUACUCAGAUGCUGAAACAGACAUCUGGCAUAUUCCUAUAAUCAGUAUCAUGGCCUUUGUAUACAACAAAAUUGAUUGGAACUCCUACACUAGAAAUAUAAUUCAAGAUUUAAAUAAGGCACUGGUCAUAGUUUUAGAAAGAGUGGCUAGCAUUCUG